UGUAGGCCCAAAUCUAUCGUUCACAAAAUACGGAGGCCUAUAGACUAUCAUACUUUGAGCUGCAAAUUUUUGAAAAGCCUUAACAUAUGAGCUCUCCAAUAGAUGGCCCGUAGCUCACUUGUUGUUGAUAUUUAGACCUUCGGCUUUUGUUGUCCAAAUGUCUUGGGUUAGCUAUAUCAGUAGAGUUCCUACCAAAGCCUACAAAUGAAUGAAGCAAUGAAUCCUCUAAAACCCCUUUGACAUAAACUCGAUUCCUCUCCACAGAAAGCCAGAACCCUCUUUUUCUCUCUCCCACUUUUGCCACACGCUCCAAAACGGAAUCCCCACCACGCCAAUGGCACCUGACCAUCAAAUCCGACGCCAACGCCGUAGAAAUCGACUUGGUGAGAAGCAGUUGAGAAAAGUGGGACGAACAUUCGGGGGUAUGGUUGACAUGUCAGCAUACGCUAACCGUCACGCGUUUAUCCACUUACCUCAGUGAUCUUACAAGAAGGUCGGGAGAGGAAAAGCCUCGACAUCUUCGAACGCAAAGGAGCCGUAGCUCCUUCUGAACCUUACACAUGUGGAGUUUGCGGUCUAAAAUGCAAGACAAAUUUGGAUUUGUAAAUAACAUUUCAAGCAAUUACAUAAAAGGGAAACAGAAAGAGUUUGUUGAAAGGCAAGAAACGACAGCGGUGUUAGGAAAGGGGCAUGUAAUAUGGGUAUUAACAAGAGGGAAACUGCAGCACAAUAAUGGGUUUAGAAUCAUUUUCUCUUUCAUCAACAAUAUAGUACUGUAUGUGUGGCUCAUCUAUGUUGGUGGACAAGCCGCUUUGUAUGUGUAUCUUGAACUUGAUCAAUGGACAGUAGUGGAAUAUGGUUGCUGACUUGUUUUUUAUUUUAA